AUUGAACGCUGGCGGCAGGCCUCACACAUGCAAGUCGAGCGGAGCGGCGGACGGGUGAGUAAUGCCUAGGAAUCUGCCUGGUAGUGGGGGAUAACGUCCGGAAACGGGCGCUAAUACCGCAUACUAUCAGAUGAGCCUAGGUGGGCUUAGCUAGUUGGUGGGGUAAAGGCCUACCAGGGCGACGAUCCGUAACUGGUCUGAGAGGAUGAUCAGUCACAAGGGGACUUAGACACGGUCCAGACUCCUAAGGGAGGCAGCAGUGGGGAAUAUUGGGCAAUGGGCGAAAGCCUGAUCCAGCAAUGCCGCGUGUGUGAAGAAGGUCUUCGGAUUGUAAAGCACUGUAGGUUGAGAAGCGUUACCAACAGAAUAGGCACCGGCUAACUUCGUGCCAGCAGCCGCGGUAAUUC
rnacentral:rRNA from 1 species